CCUACGGGUGGCAGCAGUGAGGAAUAUUGGUCAAUGGACGGGAGUCUGAACCAGCCAAGCCGCGUGAAGGAAGACGGCCCUAUGAGUUGUAAACUUCUUUUGUACAAGGGUAAACCUGACCACGUGUAUUCAGCUGAAAGUACUGUACGAAUAAGCAUCGGCUAACUCCGUGCCAGCAGCCGCGGUAAUACGGAGGAUCCGAGCGUUAUCCGGAUUUAUUGGGUUUAAAGGGUGCGUAGGCGGAUUGUUAAGUCAGGGGUGAAAUGUCCGGGCUUAACCCGGGAACUGCCUCUAAUACUGUUGACCUUGAGAGUAGGUGAGGUAGGCGGAAUGUGUGGUGUAGCGGUGAAAUGCUUAGAGAUCACACAGAACUCCGAUUGCGAAGGCAGCUUACCAAUCUGUAACUGACGUUGAGGCACGAAAGCGUGGGUAGCGAACAGGAUUAGAUACCCCGGUAGUC
rnacentral:rRNA from 1 species